UGCCAGCCGCCGCGGUAAUACGGAGGGUGCAAGCGUUGUUCGGAUUUACUGGGCGUAAAGAGCGCGCAGGCGGCCAGGUCAGUCGAAUGUGAAAGCCCUGGGCUCAACCUGGGAACUGCAUGGGAUACUGGCAUUCUAGAAUACAGUAGAGGGAGGUGGAAUUUCAGGUGUAGCGGUGAAAUGCGUAGAUAUAGGAAGGAACACCAGUGGCGAAGGCGACACCCUGGACCAAUACUGACACUGAGGUGCGAAAGCGUGGGGAGCAAACAGGAUUAGAUA
rnacentral:rRNA from 1 species